rnacentral:rRNA from 1 species
UACCUGCAGCUCGAGUGGUAACCGCUAUUAUUGGGCCUAAAGCGUCUGUAGCCGGUUUGGUAAAUAUCUGGGUAAAUCGUGAGGCUUAACUUCACGAAUUUCGGAUAGACUGCCAGACUUGGGAUCGGGGGAGGUCAGAGGUACUCCAGGGGUAGCGGUGAAAUGUUGUAAUCCUUGGAGGACCACCGGUAGCGAAGGCGUCUGACUAGAACGAGUCCGACGGUGAGGGACGAAGCCCUGGGGCGCAAACCGGAUUAGAUACCCGGGUAGUCCAGGGUGUAAACGAUGUGGGCUUUGUAUUGGAGGUCCCACGUGGGCGUCCAGUGCAGAAGAGAAGUUGUUAAGCCCACCGCCUGGGAAGUACGGUCGUAAGGCUGAAACUUAAAGGAAUUGGCGGGGAGCACAGCAACGGGAGGAGCGUGCGGUUU